rnacentral:rRNA from 1 species
UACGUAGGGUGCAAGCGUUGUCCGGAAUUAUUGGGCGUAAAGAGCUCGUAGGCGGCCUGUUGCGUCCGCUGUGAAAGCCCGGGGCUUAACCCCGGGUCGGCAGUGGAUACGGGCAGGCUAGAGGUAGGUAGGGGAGAAUGGAAUUCCCGGUGUAGCGGUGAAAUGCGCAGAUAUCGGGAGGAACACCAAAGGCGAAGGCAGUGUCCUGGGGAGUACCUGACGCUCAGGUGCGAAAGCCAGGGGAGCGAACGGG